rnacentral:misc_RNA from 1 species
CUCAUGAAUUGUCGACUCCACAUUGUGCAGAGCCUCAGCUCUACUUUGCAUGUAACUGUCUUGUAGUGGAACCAUCUGCUGUUGCUGUUGCUGUUGCCGCUGCUGCUGCUGCUGCUGCUGCUGCAUGACUCAACAUCUGUCUGCUUGCUGGGAAAUAACUGAGAUGAGGAUGCAGAACCAUUGGCCCAUGGAGGAGGAGGAGCUGGUGAUGCAUUAGCUGCAGAUCUGGAAGCUAGUGGACGCUGUCGGACGAAGGGAUUUGUAGAAUCUUUUGAAGCAGUUGAAGAAAACAAUUGCCUUCGGUUCUCAUGAACCUUUAGAUUCUCUGUCCGCAUUGUAAGGACUUCUUUAAACUCCUUUGUGGCGCUCAUCAACCGGUUCUUCAAGUUAUCAACAACAGUGGUUGAAUGAGUUGUGGUGUCACUUGAGAUGUUUCCACUUUCAUUCUGGGAAUUGCAAAGGAAUUGGAGGUCUACAACAGCUGCAUUAAGGGCAGUAAUAUCUUGCUUUAUAACCGCUGUAAGCUCUUGGAUCUCUGUAGUUGGAUCAUCAAACAUGGAUGUUCUCUUUGCCAAUUUGGCAAGUUUCGCUAGCUUCUGCGAUGUCUGGUGGAUCCCAAACCCUAUCUUCGACGCUCGUUUAUUGAACUC